rnacentral:lncRNA from 1 species
CUCUAUCCACGAAUCCCACUACUAUUUCCUUUUUUUAUUCUUCAAAUCUGAAGUGCCACUUCUAAACUUUAGCAUCGUGACAUUGUUCUCAAGUCCAACUAGCAGAAUCAAUUGCUUCAUCCCUAGGAUAUGAAGCCUCAAAUUUUAUUUCCAUUCCAUUGAUUGGAUUUCGAAAUCCCUAAUUCAAAACCCUACACUAAUCGAUGCAUAGUCGAAUCCCCAGAGAUUCUUUGUGCUCUGUCAAAAUUAGUGGCAUACAUAGCUAUUUUACAGUGUCAUCAUCAUUAUUCUUGGUCCAGAGGUCAAGUGCAGAGACCUCUAGACAUUGGGCCUUUAUUCGGUGGUUUUUGUUUUCAACAAGCAGUCUUCCUCCCUCAGGUAAAAUCUAUCCUUUUUCUCACCUUUAUCAUCUUUGAUUUCACUCGAGUUUGCUCACAUCAUCCACUUUCCAUCAUCUUCCACUGUCCUAAUUUGAAUCAGUAAGCUAUGGCACUAAAUGCCAAAAUAAAUAGAGUUUUGAAUGCUCUCACCUAACAAACCGAACAAGAACUAAAAAUCCUAAUACGAGUAUAAAAAAACCAUUGAGAUUUCAAAAGCCUAGUCUCUCUCUCUCUCUCUCUCGCUCUCGCUCUCUUCCUCUUUCUCUCUGAUUAAUUUUUGUUUCUUUUGUUUUCGAGUUUUCAUUGCUCAAAGCUUGAAGCUCUAGUUUCUACACGACUAAGUUGAAUUCUUGUUUGGUCUGCUGCACACAAGGAGGUCAGUAUACUUCCACUCCUUUUUGACUGUUUUAUUUAAAAUCAUGAACCUAUUGUUGUCUUUUCAUUGACUGCCUUUGUUUUUUAUGUUUGUCAUCAGCUCUUAAUUAUUUGUUCUUGGUUAUAAUGAUUUAUUACUAACUUAUGAUUAACUUUAAUGAAUUUAUGUGUCGCAAGUCAAUUUGAUUAAGUCAUUAUGUGACCUUGAAGACUACUACUCUAAAUCAAACAACCUAUGCAAUUAAGUUUUUUAAUGUGUCUUGAUAGCUUCCCAUGCAUGUUAUGAUUUAAGAUUUUCUCUAAAUGUUCUGUUGUGAUCUUCAUGCCUAUUACACUAAUCAUGUUUAAUGUAGUCUUUUAUUCUAUAUUUGAAGUUGUUAUUUAAUGAUUUUAACUAAGAGGUAUAUGAAUGCUCAGGGUUUAAUCCUUUACUAAUGAGUAAAGUAUGUUAACUUUAAUUGUUUAAGGUGUUUUUCCUUCUUCAGAUAAGUGUUUGAUAAUCCGAAACAACCUUUGAGUCAUUAAUGUGAAAGUCUUGUGUUUAUACUUAACUUUUAAUCACAUAUGUAAGCCUUAUCAUAUGAAACAGCCUCAUUAGAGCAACCAGGACAAGUCUGAUGAACCUCGGUGACUAUUUUUGUAUAAGCUCUUGUAUGCAGCGAAAUCAGAGGGCCUAAUUUCUUGCUAUCGAGUCACUUCAGAAGAACACCUAGACCCCGAGGAUGCGAAGUUGUGACCGGGUUCCCUCCUUCAGAGCUAGUCGAGGCCCGACUUAAAGAUGACGUAGAUCGAGGCUAGAGCAAAAUGGGGAAUUC